GAGUAGCAUAUUGGCUGAAAUCUGAAUUUGAAGCAUGUUUUAGAAUCUAGUUAAACUAUACAUGUUGGACUUGAAAAUUGAAUUAGGAGAAAACCGGCGAUUUGGACCCGUCAUUUGAUUCUACUACUUGAUUAGCUUUAGGAGCCGUGUUUCAAUGAUAUCAGCGCAGUAUUGGCGCGGUGAAUACCUGGGGUAGUUUAGAAUGCAAUUACGCUCGUGCUGGGAUGCCGAGCUUAUUUUUUCAGUAGAGUCUAGGCUGUUCGGGUUGUCGGGUGCCGUCGGGGUGGACGGUGG
rnacentral:lncRNA from 1 species